AUUGAACGCUGGCGGCAUGCUUUACACAUGCAAGUCGAACGGCAGCGCGGGCUUCGGCCUGGCGGCGAGUGGCGAACGGGUGAGUAAUGCAUCGGAACGUGCCCAGUAGUGGGGGAUAGCCCGGCGACAGCCGGAUUAAUACCGCAUACGACCUGAGGGUGAAAGCGGGGGACCGAAAGGCCUCGCGCUAUUGGAGCGGCCGAUGUCGGAUUAGCUAGUUGGUGGGGUAAAGGCUUACCAAGGCGACGAUCCGUAGCUGGUCUGAGAGGACGACCAGCCACACUGGAACUGAGACACGGUCCAGACUCCUACGGGAGGCAGCAGUGGGGAAUUUUGGACAAUGGGGGCAACCCUGAUCCAGCCAUGCCGCGUGCGGGAAGAAGGCCUUCGGGUUGUAAACCGCUUUUGUUCGGGAAGAAAUCCUGUGGGCUAAUACCCCGGGGGGAUGACGGUACCGGAAGAAUAAGCACCGGCUAACUACGUG
rnacentral:rRNA from 1 species